rnacentral:rRNA from 1 species
AGAGUUUGAUCCUGGCUCAGAGCGAACGCUGGCGGCAGGCCUAACACAUGCAGGUCGAACGCCUGUAGCAAUACAGGAGUGGCAGACGGGUGAGUAACGCGUGGGAACGUGCCCUUUCGGUUCGGAAUAACCCAGGGAAACUUGGGCUAAUACCGGAUACGUCCGUGAGGAGAAAGAUUUAUCGCCGAAGGAGCGGCCCGCGUCCGAUUAGCUAGUUGGUGAGGUAAAGGCUCACCAAGGCGACGAUCGGUAGCUGGUCUGAGAGGAUGACCAGCCACACUGGGACUGAGACACGGCCCAGACUCCUACGGGAGGCAGCAGUGGGGAAUAUUGGACAAUGGGCGCAAGCCUGAUCCAGCCAUGCCGCGUGGGUGAUGAAGGCCCUAGGGUUGUAAAGCCCUUUCGGCGGGGAAGAUAAUGACGGUACCCGCAGAAGAAGCCCCGGCUAACUUCGUGCCAGCAGCCGCGGUAAUACGAAGGGGGCUAGCGUUGCUCGGAAUUACUGGGCGUAAAGCGCACGUAGGCGGAUCGUUAAGUCGGAGGUGAAAUCCUGGAGCUCAACUCCAGAACUGCCUUCGAUACUGGCGAUCUCGAGUCCGGGAGAGGUGAGUGGAACUCCGAGUGUAGA